UUAUUCCUGCCCGAUACGCGGACUGCGCACAUAUAACCCUACACUCGAUUGAAAGGGAGCUCUGUCUCCGCUUGUGGAUUGCAGACCUCCCGACACGGCUUUGACCGUUGUUGGAGGAAGGGAGCGUGAAUCAAGCGGGGGGGCACCCACCUGCUUUUAUGUAGCAGGUUAUUGAGUUGCGCGAUACGGUCGGGCGGGAAUUCU
rnacentral:other from 1 species